rnacentral:rRNA from 1 species
CCCUUAGAUGUUCUGGGCCGCACGCGCGCUACACUGAUGCAUUCAACGAGUUUCUUCCUGGUCCGAGAGGAAUGGGUAACCUUUUGAAAGUGCAUCGUGAUAGGGAUAGACUAUUGCCAUUAUUGGUCUUCAACGAGGAAUUCCUAGUAGACGUAGUUCAUCAGACUGCAUCGAUUACGUCCCUGCCCUUUGUACACACCGCCCGUCGCUCCUACCGAUUGAAUGCUCAGGUGAGCCAUUCGGACUUUCAUCAUGCUGGUUUCCAGUUUUGAUGAAGGAAAGUCUUGCGAACCUUAUCAUUUAGAGGAAGGAGAAGUCGUAACA